rfam:Sus scrofa chromosome 6.
GGGCAGGACUUUGACUCUCAGAUCUGUUCUGUGUUGCAAGCUUGGUUGAAGAGGACGACCAUCUCCGAUAGAGGAGGACCGUUCUUCGGUCAAGGGUAUACAAGUAGCUGUGCUCCUCUGCUAGAACCUCCAAACAAGAUCUGUUCUUUUAACUUCCCUGCAAAAUACAACAAAAAGCUUUGUGGGCCACCUGAGGAGUCUUCUUGUACUGCUGCUCCUU